GGAAGCCAAUAAGAUGCAUAUUAUUAGUUUGUAAAAAUGCAAACAACUAGGAAUCGAAGUUAACCUUUUCUUUUAACGCCGUGAGAGCAAACAAGAAGCAUACCCCUCCAAUUUUAAAUUAGUAUUUCACCAUUACGAAUCAUCGGAAAAAAGGGUUUUAAGCAUUUGUCUGAAGAGAGAUAGGAGAACACUUAUCAUAAGAAAAAUAACGGAGCAAGCGAGAGAAUUAGAGAAAGCGAGGAACUUACACUUCGAUUCGAUUCGAUUACACUGCAGAUAGCAAGUUCUGGGUAGAAAUGGUGAGAAAGAAGAAACCUUCGCCUAAUUUUGAAAUUAGGGCGGAAAUAAUAUAUAAAUCAAAUUUGGGUCGGAUUUGGCCUUUCGAAACUGUGGAAAGCAAAGAAAGAAGUAAAAGCCCAAACUGGAAGUUCCUUUUU
rnacentral:lncRNA from 1 species